rnacentral:lncRNA from 1 species
CAAUUCUUUCUCUUUUGUUUUGAGAAAAUGUUUUUUUUUUGAGAGAGAGAUAGGUAGCAUGCUACCCGUUUUGUUUUAUUUCAUUUAGAAAUAAACUUAGUUAGAAAUGUGAAUCAAUUAGGAUUCGAACUUGGGUCUCGAAUAUCAAUCACCAAGCCCUUUUGUCACUUGCGCUGGGGAAUUAAUGUUAGUUACAAUUUAAUAAUUAAAUUUGCAUCACAUAUAUAUAUAUGGUAGCACUUAACAUAUGAUGAUAGUUAAAAUAGUUUAGAGUCCCACAUUGGAUCGAAAAUAUAAAUAUAAAUAUAAAUAUAUUCUGUAUAAAAUAAUUAGUUAGAUGGUGGGCAUCAUACACUUUCGGCCUUUUUUACAAUAUCUUAUAUAAAACUUUUUUUUUUUUUUCAGAGAUAGGUAGCACGUUACCAGCUUUGUUUAUUUCAUUUAGAAAUAAACUUAGCUUGAAAUGUGAAUCAACUAGUAUUCGAACUGGGUCUCAGGUACCAACCACCAAACCCUUUACCACUUGCUCUAGGGACGGUCGGAAUUUUUGCUCUACAAGACGGCGCACAUCUUCUUAUCAGCUAAAUUUUCUUUUUUUGAGAGAGAGAAAGAAAAAGAAAGAUAGGAUGCAUGUUAUUUAUUUAUUUUUUAAAUAAAUUUAGCUAAAAAUACGAAGGAACUACAUUUUAGUGAACAUAUAUGU